UCUGGUGGUCCAGUGUUUGAGAGAUUUCA
rnacentral:piRNA from 1 species